GACGAACGCUGGCGGCGUGCCUAAUACAUGCAAGUUGAGCGCUGAAGGUUGGUACUUGUACCAACUGGAUGAGCAGCGAACGGGUGAGUAACGCGUGGGGAAUCUGCCUUUGAGCGGGGGACAACAUUUGGAAACGAAUGCUAAUACCGCAUAAAAACUUUAAACACAAGUUUUAAGUUUGAAAGAUGCAAUUGCAUCACUCAAAGAUGAUCCCGCGUUGUAUUAGCUAGUUGGUGAGGUAAAGGCUCACCAAGGCGAUGAUACAUAGCCGACCUGAGAGGGUGAUCGGCCACAUUGGGACUGAGACACGGCCCAAACCCCCACGGGAGGCAGCAGUAGGGAAUCUUCGGCAAUGGACGAAAGUCUGACCGAGCAACGCCGCGUGAGUGAAGAAGGGUUUCGGAUCGUAAAACUCUGUUGGUAGAGAAGAACGUUGGUGAGAGUGGAAAGCUCAUCAAGUGACGGUAACUACACAGAAAGGGACGGCUAACUACGUG
rnacentral:rRNA from 1 species